CCACCCAAUGCGCCGCCAAUGCCGGCCUCGGUGGAGCCGCCUGCCAUGGCAACGCCGCUGAGCAAGCUGAAAGACAACAACAGAAUCGAGGAGUACUUCUUCAUUCAAGAGAGCCUCAGAGUGAUGACGAGGCGAAUGUGCUUCUAUCUGCAGCCAGUGGCAACGAAUAUCCGACGAAUUGCACGGGUUGUACACAAUUCGUCAACUCAUUGAUUUAUAAGUGAAACUUUGUAUUUUUUUUGCGGUCUUAUGCUCUUGUGACCCAGCCCUGCUCCUGUAUUGGACCAGGGCUUUUUCAUUCAGAGUAUUCGCCCGUCGUCCUCUGCGCGUUCCAGUUUGAUCGCAAUGAACUUGGAC
rnacentral:sRNA from 1 species